AUGGACCACUUUUAAGAAUAUCUCCAAAAACUGUUUGGAAAAAUCUCCGACGAGGAAGAAAUUGCCGUCGCGGCUGACUACGAACGGACGCACGCAGGGCUUCCCUCCGUGUAUUUGACGAUCUGAUCGCACACUCCGUCUGCACCAGAGUGUCAGUUUGUCAAAUAUACAAAGGGCGGCCUCUGACCCGCCACAAGGACCCGGACUCUUGGCCAAAACCAAACGGACAACCGGACACCUUCCGACAGAAACGCAGGCGACUCUAUGGACUCCAGAGUUAUUUAUUUAUUAUUUUCUAGCUGUGCCCGGCCACGUGUUGCUGUGGCAUCGUCCUAAGUGGGAUUCCUCAGGGAGGUGUUAGCUGGCCCUGAUUGUUUCCUAUCUGGAAUUCCCAGUUUCCUUGUUUUCAGAGUGUUGCUCUUUAUUUACUGUCCUGAUUUUAAAGAUUAUAUUGUUCUGUAUUAUUAUACCACAGGGGCCCCCUGGUGGCACAGUGUGUUAAAGCGCUGAGCUGAUGAACUUGCGGACCAAAAGGUCCCAGGUUCAAAUCCCGGGAGCAGAAUGAGCGCCCGCUGUUAGCCCCAGCUCCUGCCAACCUAGCAGUUUGAAAACAUGCAAAUAUGAGUAGAUCACAUGUCACCAAAUCUGAAAACAUGUUCUGUCUCUGGUUUGGAAGUGUUGUUUCCUGUUUAAUUGAAAAGUGGUUACUUUCAAAGUA